AGUGAACGCUGGCGGUAGGCCUAACACAUGCAAGUCGAACGGCAGCACAGUAAGAGCUUGCUCUUACGGGUGGCGAGUGGCGGACGGGUGAGGAAUACAUCGGAAUCUACUUUUUCGUGGGGGAUAACGUAGGGAAACUUACGCUAAUACCGCAUACGACCUACGGGUGAAAGCAGGGGAUCUUCGGACCUUGCGCGAUUGAAUGAGCCGAUGUCGGAUUAGCUAGUUGGCGGGGUAAAGGCCCACCAAGGCGACGAUCCGUAGCUGGUCUGAGAGGAUGAUCAGCCACGCUGGAACUGAGACACGGUCCAGACUCCUACGGGAGGCAGCAGUGGGGAAUCUUGGACAAUGGGCGCCAGCCUGAUCCAGCCAUACCGCGUGGGUGAAGCAGGCCUUCGGGUUGUAAAGCACUUUUGUUGGGAAAGAAAAGCAGCAGGUUAAUACCCCGCUGUUCUGACGGUACCCAAAGCAUAAGCACCGGCUAACUUCGUG
rnacentral:rRNA from 1 species